GGCUGAAAUUCGCCUUCAUGAAGCUGGAAUUGCUAGUAAUGGCAGGUCAGCAUACUGCCGUGAAUACGUUCCCGGGCCUUGUACACACCGCCCGUCACACCAUGAGAGUUGGGAAUACCCGAAGCCUGUGAGCUAACAUAUGAGGCAGCAGUCGAAGGUAGAAUCAAUGAUUGGGGUGAAGUCGUAACAAGGUAAC
rnacentral:rRNA from 1 species